GGGGCUGUAGCUCAGUGGUAGAGCGCCUGCCUAGCAAGUGUGAGGCGCUAGAUUCAAUUCUCAGCACCA
rfam:Ictidomys tridecemlineatus contig051646, whole genome shotgun sequence.